rnacentral:misc_RNA from 1 species
CUCGCAGCAUAGCCAACACGUACGUCGCUUCGUUCGCAGCUUGGCGAUCUGUUAUCAUCCAUCAACCAUCGAUCUCCUUAUCUAAAUAUUAUACUUUUCAAAUCUAAAUAAACAGCUUCUACGGAAAUCUCGCUCACAACUGCACAUGCAAGUGUUUCGACUUGUGACGCAAUACAAAGUAAAUAGUGUAUGAAUAAUAUACAUUUUAUGUUUUUAUAUAUUUGUUACUAUCGCUACUAACAGUCUCGUGUGUGAGUAAUUGCGAAAAUAUUUGUCAUUAUUCAUUAUUAAAUUUGUAAUUAUUUUUACAAUUAAUCUGUUACUAUUUCACGCAAGCGUUGGCCGAAUUGACAAAGGUAACUCAACUCCAAAUCCAAAACAUUGACGAUAUUUAUUUUUCAUUGGCUGAUAACAAAUAUCUUUUACAGACUGUAAUGAACUGAGUCUUUGUCAAAAGGAUCGGCGAUAU